rnacentral:lncRNA from 11 species
UACAGGUCUCAGGUUUGGCUUCAACACUAUGAUUAUUUUCCUUGGCAGAAAUGCAGUAACCAGGUUGCUCAUCGCACUGAGAUUCUUGCAUAUCCACACUACAUUAGUCAUUGGUGCUGAGCUACAUCUGAAGAAAAUAGAACAACACGGAGGGUCAGAGUUCACAGCAGCCAGAAUUUACAAACCUCCAAUGGGUUUUGAUUGACAGCAAUCAGCAUCUCUUCAGCAUCACUGAGGGAACAAAGUACAGGUCAAGACAGCAGGCGAUUUCAUCUGUCAUUUUUAAUUAUCUAAAUGAUAUUCACAGGCAAAACCUUUCCCAUCUAUCAGGGCAUCACAUUACCAUAGACAAUGUUUGUUUAAAGAAGGGGCCAUAAAAUCAAACAAUUAUGAAUGCAGACAAGCCUUGCUAUUGACUGCAUAAAUAAUCAAGUGAGAUUUCCAAAACUCUCUGCUAAUGAACAGCUAGAUUGUUGGCAGGAAGUGGUAAGUAAUAAUACAGACAACCGUCUAAUGUUCUUAUUGACUUUUACUAAAGCUUGGCUACAGUAGCAGUAGGAUAAAAAAAAUGAUGUCAAAUAAGGUUUCCAUAGAAGCCGUAUUGAUAGCGGUACCCAGCUAAAAUACAAGUAGUUAACUCCUGACCUUAUAGUAGGACCAAGGGUCCCCUGAGAGAGCUGAAAAGCUAGCACUACAAUACAUCAUGAACUAAGCCAACAGCCUCAGGGCCCUGACAACAUUACAGCACAGGAAAGGGUCCCUUCUUUUGCCAUUUAUAACAGUGUAAUCUGAAAUAAUUCAACAGUAGCCUUGGCAAUGAACUCCGUUUGAGGUUGUUAGAUCAGUAAAUAAACCUUUGUUGGAGACAGAAAUGGAAAAGUAAAUAGCUUGCUGAAGCUGUACCUACGCCAUUUUACACCAAGCUUUAUUUCAGUACCUGAAGAAAUUAUAAAACUUACAUUUGUGCACUUGAACUGAAGCUAAAAGAAGCCAUGUUCCUUCCACCACUUCGCUUGCUUCAUUUGUUUCCAAUGGAAAACUUAGGACUUGGGAUGGGACUGAAAUGCAGUAUUACUGAAUAACACCAGAUUUGGAGGUAAGGCUUCAUCAGACCUAUUUUCUACAAGAUCCAGAGUUAUUAGAGUCCACAGACUUACAAUGUCUAUGUAUAAAAGCUGUGAAAAAUAUCAAGAUUAUAGGCUCCUAAAGCUUUUUUGAACCCCACACUUCUCUGAGAAUCUGAUGAAAGCUAUGUAUCAUCCCCGCAACCCCAGAAAUAUGGCCAUAAACUAAUACAUAAUAUUUUGUAAAGAAUUUAUUUUACUGUAUUUCACAUAGACUAAGCUGAUGUGGAGAAAUCACACACACACACAUAUUCACAAAGAACCACUUUUUAGUGUAACACAUUUUUAGUGGGCACAUAUAUAAUGCUAGUGGGAGUUCCUUAUUAUCCUCUGAGUGAUGGGAGGGAAAUGAAAUACAAUUUCUUCCUGAAAUACUAUAUUUGGCAUCAGUUCUGCUACUUUUUCAAUAGUACAACAAAAUUUCCCCUGCAUACCUGACUUCUCCAGCUUUAUACCCACAGUCUAAUCCUCAGCUAAUAUAAUUAGAAAAUGCCAAUUAGCACAAAACAUUCAGUACAAAAGAGGUGAGUGAUGUUGCAGUUCUCCAGGUCUAGGAGUAGCGUUAGGCAACUAUAACAAUAUACAUGGCUGAAGCCACAAUUUAGCUAAUGGUGGGACAGACAAUUGUUUUUUAAAAAUGUAAUUCACCAUUCCCAAAAAUACAAUGCAAACUGAAAUGCAAAUAUUCUUCAAUUAUUUGAGUUUUUGUCUGUGAUGCCUAUAGAGUGGGGGUUACUAUUUGUCCACCCAGAAGAAGGGAUGAAAAGCAAGGAAUGUACUGACACUACUACACAUCACAACAUUGGAUGGAAGGGUGGACAAAAUAAGUAGGUUUUGUGCAAACUUUUACAACCUCCUGCAGAAACAUGACUGAAAACCACCUGCCCAAUGAAAUGAUGCAUUUUUAAAAAAUCAUUGUCGGACAUUCUCAUUUUUUUAAAAAAAAAAAAUCUGUUUUUUAUAACCUUGGCUUCCUCACCUUCCUCGACCGCCUUUUGCUUUCCCAUUCCAAUGAUGUUUCAAUAGUACUUGAAACUACAAAAGGCUUAAC